rnacentral:rRNA from 1 species
AUACGAACCGGACAAACGUUAUUCGGAAUUACUGGGCGUAAAGCGCUCGUAGGCGGCUUGUUAAGUCUGAUGUGAAAGCCCUGGGCUCAACCUGGGAACUGCAUUCGAUACUGGCAAACUAGAGUAUAGUAGAGGCAAGUGGAAUUCCGGGUGUAGCGGUGAAAUGCGUAGAUAUCCGGAGGAACAUCAGUGGCGAAGGCGACUUGCUGGACUAAUACUGACGCUGAGGAGCGAAAGCGUGGGGAGCAAACGGGAUUAGAAACCCCAGUAGUCC